UACGAAGGGGGCUAGCGUUGUUCGGAAUUACUGGGCGUAAAGCGUGCGCAGGCGGCUUCUCAAGUCAGGGGUGAAAGCCCAGAGCUCAACUCUGGAAUUGCCUUUGAGACUGAGUGGCUUGAGUACGAGAGAGGUGAGUGGAAUUCCCAGUGUAGAGGUGAAAUUCGUAGAUAUUGGGAAGAACACCGGUGGCGAAGGCGGGCUCACUGGCUCGUAACUGAC
rnacentral:rRNA from 1 species